CCCGCUCAGAACUUAAAGGAAUUGACGGGGGCCCGCACAAGCGGUGGAGCAUGUGGUUUAAUUCGAUGAUACGCGAGGAACCUUACCUGGGCUCAAAUGUAUGUUGACGUAUUCUGAAAGGGAUACUUCUUCGGACAAUAUACAAGGUGCUGCAUGGUUGUCGUCAGCUCGUGCCGUGAGGUGUCGGGUUAAGUCCCAUAACGAGCGCAACCCCUAUCAUUAGUUGCCAUCAGGUCAAGCUGGGGACUCUAAUGAAACUGCCUACGCAAGUAGUGAGGAAGGUGGGGAUGACGUCAAAUCAGCACGGCCCUUACGUCCAGGGCUACACACGUGCUACAAUGGCCGGUACAAAGGGCAGCUACCUGGUGACAGGAUGCUAAUCUCAAAAGCCGGUCUCAGUUCGGAUUGCAGUCUGCAACUCGACUGCAUGAAGUUGGAAUCGCUAGUAAUCGUGGAUCAGCCAAGCCGCGGUGAAUACGUUCCCGGGCCUU
rnacentral:rRNA from 1 species